CCUACGGGGCGCAGCAGUGGGGAAUAUUGCACAAUGGGGGAAACCCUGAUGCAGCGACGCCGCGUGAGUGAAGAAGUAUUUCGGUAUGUAAAGCUCUAUCAGCAGGAACGAGACAAGACGGUACCUGACUAAGAAGCCCCGGCUAACUACGUGCCAGCAGCCGCGGUAAUACGUAGGGGGCAAGCGUUAUCCGGAAUCACUGGGUGUAAAGGGUGCGUAGGCGGCCUGCUAAGUCUGGAGUGAAAGGUACCGGCUCAACCGGUACAGGCUCUGGAAACUGGCGGGCUAGAGAGCAGGAGAGGGCG
rnacentral:rRNA from 1 species